CUUUGUUUGCUUCAAUUGACUCCGCGCGGGGCCAAAAGUCUAGAGCUGAACUCGAAACAACCGCCGUUUUCCAUUCGUUGGUCUUGUUGUGUUGUUGUUCCUUCUGCUAUAAAGAAUAGAAUGGCGCUGGUUGGAGUGGGAGUGAAUGCUCGGCUAGAGUAGAGACAUUGUGGAUCUCAUGAAUAGUCAUGGCGACUAGAGUCUAAACGACCUGGCAGUAUUAAAAAGUUUGUCUGCUCUAUUAUGCUUUGGGCGCCCUACAAAGUUCUUCUUUUCCACGGGUCUGAAGUCUGAAGUCUGAAGGAAAGACAAGAAAGUGAGACUCGUCUGCUGACAGACACGGACAUCAGCAGAUAUUCUUCAGUCUAUACUAUACCUACGUCAUCUCUCUCUGACCGUCGCUGUCUGAGGACCUGUUGGACCUGUCAUUUUUGGCCGGCCGGUUUUGGAUCUCCUGCUGGUGGUUGUCGGCUGGGGACUUGGCACUGAAGGAAAGAAGGAAGGAAAGAAAGAAAGAAGAAAGACAGGAAGGUGAACGAACAAAAGGAUAACGCGUGUGAUUUUUUAGAAAGUUUUGUGCUGAGUACACUGUCCAGAAGGAAAUAUUCAAAACUGCUCAUAUAACUCGGAUCGGAAUAUUUGAAUGUACUUUAUUGUCACCAGAAAAGAAAAAAACAACUGUAAUUACUGUUGUGUUUUGUUCACGUAUUCGGACAUUUGAUCUCCCUGCACAGCUGAAUAUUGGUAGAGAACAGUGCAAAAGGAUAUUAUCGUGUUGACGAAAAAA